CCUACGGGAGGCAGCAGUGAGGAAUAUUGGACAAUGGGCGCAAGCCUGAUCCAGCCAUGCCGCGUGCAGGAUGACGGUCCUAUGGGAUUGUAAACUGCUUUUAUACAGGAAGAAACACCUCUACGUGUAGAGACUUGACGGUACUGUAAGAAUAAGGAUCGGCUAACUCCGUGCCAGCAGCCGCGGUAAUACGGAGGAUCCAAGCGUUAUCCGGAAUCAUUGGGUUUAAAGGGUCCGUAGGCGGUUUAGUAAGUCAGUGGUGAAAGCCCAUCGCUCAACGGUGGAACGGCCAUUGAUACUGCUAGACUUGAAUUAUUAGGAAGUAACUAGAAUAUGUAGUGUAGCGGUGAAAUGCUUAGAGAUUACAUGGAAUACCAAUUGCGAAGGCAGGUUACUACUAAUUGAUUGACGCUGAUGGACGAAAGCGUGGGUANCGAACAGGAUUAGAUACCCUGGUAGUCCACGCCGUAAACGAUGAUACUAGCUGUUGGANCAAUCUNAGUGNGAGAGAAGUAGAGUAAGUAGUACCGACCGUAACGGGUAGGUACGAACGACGUAAGUUAGUUAAACGUAACGAAGUUAGAGUUAGACGGCGUUGAGACGAGCGACGGACGACGACGAGGGAGGAGG
rnacentral:rRNA from 1 species